UACGGAGGGGGCUAGCGUUGUUCGGAAUUACUGGGCGUAAAGCGCGCGUAGGCGGCUUUGUAAGUUAGAGGUGAAAGCCCGGAGCUUAACUCCGAAACUGCAUUCGAUACUGCCGUGCUUGAGGACUGGAGAGGAGACUGGAAUUUACGGUGUAGCGGUGAAAUGCGUAGAUAUCGUAAGGAAGACCAGUGGCGAAGGCGGGUCUCUGGACAGUUCCUGACGCUGAGGCACGAAAGCUAGGGGAGCAAACAGG
rnacentral:rRNA from 1 species